rnacentral:rRNA from 1 species
CAAUGGGAUGCGAAUCUCGAAAGCCUGUCUCAGUUCGGAUUGGAGGCUGAAACCCGCCUCCAUGAAGUUGGAUUCGCUAGUAAUCGCGCAUCAGCCAUGGCGCGGUGAAUACGUUCCCGGGCCUUGUACACACCGCCCGUCAAGCCAUGGGAGCCGGGGGGUGCCUGAAGUUCGUGACCGCAAGGAGCGACCUAGGGCAAAACUGGUGACUGGGGCUAAGUCGUAACAAGGUAGC